rnacentral:rRNA from 1 species
CCUACGGGUGGCUGCAGUAGGGAAUAUUGCUCAAUGGGGGAAACCCUGAAGCAGCAACGCCGCGUGGAGGAUGAAGGUUUUCGGAUUGUAAACUCCUUUUGUUAGAGAAGAUAAUGACGGUAUCUAACGAAUAAGCACCGGCUAACUCCGUGCCAGCAGCCGCGGUAAUACGGAGGAUUCAAGCGUUAUCCGGAUUUAUUGGGUUUAAAGGGUGCGUAGGCGGGAUAGCAAGUCAGAUGUGAAAUCCUAUGGCUUAACCAUAGAACUGCAUUUGAAACUGUUAUUCUAGAGUAUGGGAGAGGUAGGUGGAAUUCUUGGUGUAGGGGUAAAAUCCGUAGAGAUCAAGAGGAAUACUCAUUGCGAAGGCGACCUGCUAGAACAUAACUGACGCUGAUGCGCGAAAGCGUGGGGAGCAAACAGGAUUAGAUACCCUGGUAGUC